GGUCACUGCUAUUGGGGUUCGACUAAGCCAUGCGAGUCAUCAGCUUCGCAAGGAGCUGAGGCGCACUGCUCAGUAACACGUGGAUAACUUAACCUCAUGUCAGGGAUAACCCCGGGAAACUGGGGAUAAUACCCGAUAGAAGACAGACACUGGAAUGUUCUAUCUUCGAAAGGCGCAAGUUUACUUGUUAGCGCAUGAGGAUGGGUCCGCGGCUGAUUAGGUAGUUGGUGGUGUAACGGACCACCAAGCCUGCGAUCAGUACGGGUGGUGGGAGCCAUGGCCCGGAGAUGGACUCUGAGACAUGAGUCCAGGCCCUACGGGGCGCAGCAGGCGCGAAAACUUCGCAAUACGCGUAAGCGUGACGAGGGAACCCCAAGUACUCUUGCUUUUUGCAGGAGUUUUUGCCAAGUGUAAAUAGCUUGGAGAAUAAGGGCGGGGUAAGGCCGGUGCCAGCCGCCGCGGUAAUACCGGCCGCCCGAGUAGUGACCACUAUUAUUGGGCCUAAAGCGUCCGUAGCCGGUUUUGUAAGUUUCUGGGUAAAUCCCACAGCUUAACUGAGGGAAUUCCAGAAAUACUGCAGAGCUAGGGGCCGGGAGACGCAGAAGGUACUCCUGGGGUAGGGGUGAAAUCCUAUAAUCCUA
rnacentral:rRNA from 1 species